rnacentral:rRNA from 1 species
AAUAGAUACCCGGGUAGUCCACGCCGUAAACGAUGAGUGCUAGGUGUUAGGGGGUUUCCGCCCCUUAGUGCUGCAGCUAACGCAUUAAGCACUCCGCCUGGGGAGUACGGUCGCAAGACUGAAACUCAAAGGAAUUGACGGGGGCCCGCACAAGCGGUGGAGCAUGUGGUUUAAUUCGAAGCAACGCGAAGAACCUUACCAGGUCUUGACAUCCCGCUGACCGCCAUGGAGACAUGGCCUUCCCUUCGGGGACAGCGGUGACAGGUGGUGCAUGGUUGUCGUCAGCUCGUGUCGUGAGAUGUUGGGUUAAGUCCCGCAACGAGCGCAACCCUUGUCCUUAGUUGCCAUCAUUCAGUUGGGCACUCUAAGGAGACUGCCGUACAAAUCGGAGAAGGUGGGGAUGACGUCAAAUCAUCAUGCCCCUUAUGACCUGGGCUACACACGUGCUACAAUGGGUGGUACAAAGGGCAGCAAACCCGCGAGGGGGAGCGAAUCCCAAAAAGCCACUCUCAGUUCGGAUUGCAGGCUGCAACC